CACUCCUACGGGAGGCAACAGUGGGGAAUAUUGGACAAUGGGCGCAAGCCUGAUCCAGCCAUGCCGCGUGAGUGAUGAAGGCCCUAGGGUUGUAAAGCUCUUUCACCGGUGAAGAUAAUGACGGUAACCGGAGAAGAAGCCCCGGCUAACUUCGUGCCAGCAGCCGCGGUAAUACGAAGGGGGCUAGCGUUGUUCGGAUUUACUGGGCGUAAAGCGCACGUAGGCGGACUAUUAAGUCAGGGGUGAAAUCCCGGGGCUCAACCCCGGAACUGCCUUUGAUACUGGUAGUCUUGAGUUCGAGAGAGGUGAGUGGAAUUCCGAGUGUAGAGGUGAAAUUCGUAGAUAUUCGGAGGAACACCAGUGGCGAAGGCGGCUCACUGGCUCGAUACUGACGCUGAGGUGCGAAAGCGUGGGGAGCAAACAGGAUUAGAAACCCUUGUAGUCCCAUG
rnacentral:rRNA from 1 species